GAUGAACGCUGGCGGCGUGCCUAAUACAUGCAAGCCGAGCGAACGGACGAGAAGCAUGCUUCUCUGAAGUUAGCGGCGGACGGGUGAGUAACACGUGGAUAACCUACCUAUAAGACUGGGAUAACCUCGGGAAACCGUAGCUAAUACCGGAGAAUAUUUUGAACCGCAUGGUUCAAAAGUGAAAGAAGGUCUUGCUGUCACUUAUAGAUGGAUCCGCGCUGCACUCGCUAGUUGGUAAGGUAACGGCUUACCAAGGCAACGAUGCAUAGCCGACCUGAGAGGGUGAUCGGCCACACUGGAACUGAGACACGGUCCAGACUCCUACGGGAGGCAGCAGUACGGAAUCUUCCGCAAUGGGCGAAAGCCUGACGGAGCAACGCCGCGUGAGUGAUGAAGGUCUUCGGAUCGUAAAACUCUGUUAUUAGGGAAGAACAUAUGUGUAAGUAACUGUGCACAUCUUGACGGUACCUAAUCAGAAAGCCACGGCUAACUUCGUG
rnacentral:rRNA from 1 species